AGCCGCCGUGCCUUUGGAAAAAGCGAAAAGGGCCCAUCCCGUCCCCUGCUGAAAUCGAAUCCCGCAGAAAGACAGGCUCUGUCUCUGUGUUCGCAUCACACUAGUUUCAUCAUCAUCACCAUCAUGACUACCUCGAAGAGGGUUGCAGAACGCAGGAUUGAGAAAUUUGAGAAGAAUAUCACUAAGAGGGGAGCGGUCAAGAAAGCAUCCGACUUCCCUUACGGCCCCAUCAUUCUUGGGCUCUUUACUUUUGUCAUCGUUGGAUCAUAUAUCUAUCAGAUGAUCAGGACAGCCAUCGCGGGUGGUGGUGGGGAUGCUUGAGAAAAUGUCAAGAAAAUCGUAUAUAUCUAGCUCCUGCUGGCUAGCUACAUAUAUCACCGACAGUCUCUAUAUAUGAAAUUGGUACCCCACCCUGUAAGAGACGAAAGCC